AUGAAAGAUAUGCAUAGCAUUGCUAGAUUUUCUUCUGAGAUAAUUCCUGAAUCUAGUACAACUGAUGAAUAUUUCGAACAAUCACAUGAGGAAGUCCUUGAGAAGGAUAACAAUGAAGUUCCUAGAAGGAACAAGAGACAAAGGAUUGCAAAAUCCUUUGGUGAUGAUUUCAUUGUAUACCUUGUGGACGACACACCCAAGACGAUUGCAGAAGCAUAUGCAUCUCCGGAUGUAGAUGAUUGGAAAGAAGCUGUUCAUAAUGAGAUGGACUCAAUUCUUUCUAAUGGAACUUGGGAACUAACUGAUAGACCAUAUGGUUGUAAACCUGUGGGCUGUAAGUGGGUGUUCAAAAAGAAGCUAAAGCCUGAUGGUACUAUUGAUAAGUACAAGGCGCAGCUAGUGGCCAAGGGCUACACUCAGAAAGAAGGCGAAGAUUACUUUGACACCUAUUCACCCGUUGCUAGAAUGACCACCAUUCGAGUGUUACUUUCCUUGGCUGCCUCUUAUGGUCUUAUCAUUCAUCAAAUGGAUGUAAAGACAGCUUUUCUCGAUGGAGAGUUGGAAGAGGAGAUCUAUAUGGAUCAGCCUGACGGGUUUGUGGUAAAGGGUGAAGAGAGAAAGGUGUGCAAGUUGUUAAAAUCUUUGUAUGGUCUGAAACAGGCACCUAAGCAAUGGCAUGAGAAGUUUGAAAGAACUUUGACUUCUGCAGGAUUUGUCAUUAACGAGGCUGAUAGGUGUGUUUACUAUCGCCAUGGUGGGGGCAAUAGUGUCAUAUUAUGUUUGUAUGUGGACGACAUACUGAUCUUUGGUACAAACAUUAAUGCAAUUAAUGAGGUCAAGUCUUUUCUAUCAAAAAGUUUUGACAUGAAAGAUCUGGGAGAAGCCGAUGUAAUUCUAAACAUCAAACUUAUUAAGGAUGAGAGUGGGAUUACAUUAACGCAAUCUCACUAUGUUGAGAAGGUCUUGAACCGAUUCGGUUUUAUGGAUAGCAAGCCUUCUCCAACACCUUAUGAUCCCAGCGUGACACUCAGAAAGAACAAGAAAGAAACGAGAGAUCAAUUAAGAUACUCUCAAAUUGUCGGUUCACUCAUGUACUUAGCUAGCGCUACAAGACCAGAUAUCUCUUUUGUUGUGAGCAAACUGAGUAGGUUCAUGUCCAACCCGGGUGAUGAUCAUUGGCAUGCACUAGAAAGGGUCUUGCGCUAUCUGAGAGGUACUAUGAGUUACGGAAUUACUUAUUCAGGGCAUCCUGCUGUGCUAGAAGGAUAUAGUGAUUCAAAUUGGAUCUCCGAUGUUGAUGUACUUUACGCAACAAGUGGGUAUGUAUUUACUCAUGGUGGUGGCGCAGUGUCAUGGAGGUCUUGCAAGCAAACCAUAUUGACGAGGUCAACUAUGGAAGCAGAAUUAACUGCUUUGGACACAGCUAUUGUUGAGGCAGAAUGGCUGCGUGAGCUCUUGAUGGACUUGUCGGUUGUUGAAAAACCUGUACCGGCUAUUCUUAUGAAUUGUGAUAACCAAAUGGUUAUCGCUAAAGUGAACAAUUCUAAAGAUAAUGCAAACUCAUCAAGACACGUGAAAAGACGUUUGAAGUCUGUCAGGAAGUUGAGAAACUCCGGAGUAAUAACUGUUACGUAUAUACAAACAGACAAAAACCUGGCAGAUCCCUUUACAAAGGGACUAUCACGAAAUGUGAUAGAUAUUGCAUCGAGGGAGAUGGGUAUGAGACCCAUA
rnacentral:rRNA from 1 species